GCGGGGAUAGUAUAGUUGGGAGAGCAUCAGACUGAAGAUAUGAAGGUUGCAUGUUCGAUCCACGCUCACCGCA
rnacentral:tRNA from 1 species